rnacentral:rRNA from 1 species
UAAUUGAAGAGUUUGAUCCUGGCUCAGAUUGAACGCUGGCGGUAUGCUUAACACAUGCAAGUCGAACGGAAACGAAGGAAGUUUACUUCCAGGCGUCGAGUGGCGGACGGGUGAGUAAUGCUUGGGAAUCUGCCUAAUAGUGGGGGACAACUCGGUGAAAACCGAGCUAAUACCGCAUACGCUCUAAGGAGGAAAGCGGGGGAUCUUCGGACCUCGUGCUAUUAGAUGAGCCCAAGUCGGAUUAGCUUGUUGGUGGGGUAAAGGCCUACCAAGGCAACGAUCCGUAGCUGGUCUGAGAGGACGAUCAGCCACACUGGGACUGAGACACGGCCCAGACUCCUACGGGAGGCAGCAGUGGGGAAUAUUGGACAAUGGGCGCA